rnacentral:rRNA from 1 species
AGAUCUAUAAUAUAUUUAAAAUUAGGUACCACGAAGCCACUUGAGCUAAUUUUGUUAUUAUUUUAGAAUUUAACAAUAGCGUAAUAUAGUUAUACUAUUAAUAAAAAUUAGGGGUGAAAGGCCUUACAAAUUUGGUGAUAUCUUGAUGUUAAGGAAAUAUAUAAAGUAUAGAGUCAACCUAAAAAUGGUUAGGUUUUUAGGGUAUAUUAUUUUAGUUCUUAAAAUACCGGAAUUUUUAAAAAAUACCAGGUAGCGUAGCCUAACAUUUAUUACUUUUUAUAUUAUAGGAAUUACUUAACUAUUAAUUUUAUUUUAACUAAUCUAUAGAUAAUGAUCUCAUUAGUAUUUACCUAUUUUUAUUUAAGGAACUCGGCAAAUAAUUUCUCGACUGUUUAUCAAAAACAUAGUUUUAAGUAUAUAUUUAAAGUUUAACCUGCUCAAUGAAAUUUAAAUAGCCGCAGUACCUUGACUGUGCAAAGGUAGCAUAAUCAGUUGGCUUAUAAUUGAAGUCUAGUAUGAAAGGGAAUUCGGGAAGUGGCUGUCUUGUAUAAAGAACUAGAAUUUAAUUAUUAGGUGAAAAUCCCUAAAUUGUUAGAAAAAAGACGAGAAGACCCUAGAAAUUUUAUUAAAAUAAUCCUUAAAUUUUGUUGGGGCGACAUGGUAACAAAUAACUUACCAAAUUAAUAGGAAACUUUUAAGUGGUAUAAGUAAAUUACUCUAGGGAUAACAGCAUAAUAUUUUAAAGUUUGUGACCUCGAUGUUGGACUAGGGAGUGAAGUAUUUAAAAGAUACUUUAAUAGGCUCUGUUCGAGCUAUACACCCUACAUGAUCUGAGUUCAGACCGG